rnacentral:rRNA from 1 species
UAGGGAAUCUUCCGCAAUGGGCGAAAGCCUGACGGAGCAACGCCGCGUGAGUGAUGAAGGUCUUCGGAUCGUAAAACUCUGUUAUUAGGGAAGAACAAAUGUGUAAGUAACUAUGCACGUCUUGACGGUACCUAAUCAGAAAGCCACGGCUAACUACGUGCCAGCAGCCGCGGUAAUACGUAGGUGGCAAGCGUUAUCCGGAAUUAUUGGGCGUAAAGCGAGCGUAGGCGGUUUUUUAAGUCUGAUGUGAAAGCCCACGGCUCAACCGUGGAGGGUCAUUGGAAACUGGAAAACUUGAGUGCCGAAGAGGAAAGUGGAAUUCCAUGUGUAGCGGUGAAAUGAGCAGAGAUAUGGAGGAACACCAGUGGCGAAGGCGACUUUCUGGUCUGUAACUGACGCUGAUGUGCGAAAGCGUGGGGAUCAAACAGG